rnacentral:rRNA from 1 species
UACGGAGGGUGCAAGCGUUGUCCGGAUUCAUUGGGUUUAAAGGGUGCGCAGGCGGGACCUUAAGUCAGGGGUGAAAGACGGUUGCUCAACAAUCGCAGUGCCUUUGAUACUGGUGUUCUUGGGUGACCUUGAGGUAGGCGGAAUGGGUGGUGUAGCGGUGAAAUGCAUAGAUACCACCCAGAACUCCGAUUGCGAAGGCAGCCUACUGGAGGUUUACCGACGCUCAGGCACGAAAGCGUGGGGAUCAAACAGG